CCUACGGGAGGCAGCAGUGAGGAAUAUUGGUCAAUGGCCGAGAGGCUGAACCAGCCAAGUCGCGUGAGGGAUGACGGCCCUAUGGGUUGUAAACCUCUUUUGUCGGGGAGCAAAGCGCGUCACGUGUGACGCUUUGCGAGUACCUGAAGAAAAAGCAUCGGCUAACUCCGUGCCAGCAGCCGCGGUAAUACGGAGGAUGCGAGCGUUAUCCGGAUUUAUUGGGUUUAAAGGGAGCGUAGGCGGAUGGUCAAGUCUGGGGUGAAAGGUUGGGGCCCAACCCCCGGACUGCUGUGGAAACUGGAUGGCUGGAGUGCAGGAGAGGUAAGCGGAAUUCGUGGUGUAGCGGUGAAAUGCGUAGAUAUUACGAAGAACACCAAUUGCGAAGGCAGCUUACUGGACUGUAACUGACGCUGAGGCUCGAAAGCGUGGGUAGCAAACAGGAUUAGAUACCCGAGUAGUC
rnacentral:rRNA from 1 species